UUUAACUCUACUAUAUUGAGAAUAAUAUAGAUUUAGAUUUUUUUUCUCUAUUUAAUAGACACAGGCAGAAAACCCAAAACAUAAAAAUAACAAUCAUAUUUUCAUUCUGUGUAGAAAAUACUAUAUUAUUAAGAAUUUUUGCCUACUAAAGUCCUUUUUUUUGUUCAACUUUUAGUAACUUUUAUAAUUUAUUCUGUGCAUUUUUAAGGUUGGAUUUUACUAGAUGCUCUCAUGAGGGCUAUAUGUCAAAUAUUGUCUAUUUUUAAAAUAUGAGUAAAUCUGUAGAGAUUUAUACACAUAUAACAUUUAAAUUACUAUGAACUAAAUCAAUCAUUUUGGUUUCAUUCUGGUUGCCACACUCAAAUACCUUUCACAGAGGAGUACCAUAUGAGCAGAGAAAAUAAAAAGGAAGAAAUAUGGUUUUAAAAUAAUUAUUAUAUGAGAAAAAAAUUGAAAAAAUAACUGUAUUUAUGUUUUUUAAAAGAUGAUAAAUGGAGGACAUAAUAAUGUCCUUUGAAAAUAAAUGUAAUAUAUCAAUGUGUAGGCAAUUCUAGUCUUUAGUCUUAAUUUUCAGAGUUUUCUCCUUUAUCAACAUCCUUUGUCUUACUUCACAAAAGUAGUUACUUUUGACAGUUUUUAUGCACACUUCUAGGAUAUUUUAAAAUAUCUGAAGUGCUCACUUUUUUUUUUUUUUUUUGUACUGCAGGAUUUGACUCAGGGACACUUAACCACUGAACCACAUUCUCAGCCCUUUUUUGUAUUUUAUUUAGAGACAAGUUCUCACUGAGUUGCUUAGUGCCUCACUAAGUUUCAGAGGCUGGCUUUGAAUUUGUGAUCCUCCUGCCUCAGCCUCCCUGGUUUCUGGUAUUACAGGCCUAUGCCACCAUACCCGGCCUCACUUAUUUUUAAAAGAACAAAAAGUAUUGCUUAUUCUGAGUGACUGCAAGAGAAAAAGUAGGAUGAGUAGGCAGGAGACACAUAGGAAUACAAACUGAAGUUCAAUAUAAGGAAGAUCUUUCAAUGGAGGUUAUAAGCCCCAUAAAAGAUCUUCUGCAAUAGGGCAAAUUGUCAAUCAAUGGUAGUAAUGAACAAAAUCUUUUAUAAAAGCAUUCAAACAUUAAGCUUUUAGGUCUUCUCCAACCACAAAGUCCUAUAGGAAUUAAAACAGACUAUAUACUAUAAAUAAUGUUUAAAAGUGAAUGUUUCAUUUGUAUUACUUUUAUUGGGGUUAAGUCAAAAGUGUCUUUGUGACUUCAAAACAACCUUCUUAGUACAGUAAAUCACUUAGAAGCUUAAAGAAAUCAAACUACAGACUGUUGCCAGAUUUCCUUAAAAACAUGAAAAGAUGGAAGAAAGGAAAGAAGAAGGAAUUGAAGAAAUAGAAAGGGAGGGAGAGAGAACGAAUACAAGAAAAGAUUUUGAAAUGCCAAAAUAACUUGGCUUUUCAGUGUUUUCAACAGAAUUUUAAUAUUAUUAUAUUAAUUCCUAAUAUAAUAAUAGUUAAAUAUAAUUGACUCAAGCCAGAUAGGAAAAGCACAAGAGUAAACUGAGUUAAAUCAGAAAGAGUAGGAGAAUGAAAUAAGUCUAAUUAGAAAACACAAUGGAAAGAAAAGCAAGGGAAGGGACGUUGGGAAAUGGUGGGGUUUGGAAAACUUUCCCAUAACUGACAGCCUGUCCGCUGGCUAGUGACAUUUCCUCAAGAUAAUAAAAAACUUUGACAAUUUGUCUCCAAGAGCCAUCCAAAAACCACUUAUUUUCUGAAAUCAGUUAACUAUUUUUAAAAAUGGUAAUGCAAAAAUAAAUAAAUAAAUAUUACCCCAAAAAGAAAAUUUCAUCUAGAGCUAAUUUCAAAAUAAAAAAUAAAUAAAUAAAAGUAAUGUUGCCAAAUUUCCAAUGCUUUGUCUCUCAGAUUCCAACUCAUAGAAUUUAUUGAAAUGUUUUGUUCUGUAGAAUACAUUGGAUCUUGCUUUUUUCUGAUAAUUUUUCCAAGUAUUCAAAGAAUAUGGUUUUGAUUAUAUAGAACUGCUGAACUGAAAGUGUCUAAAUUACUGUACAUGACUAAAAAAACGAACCAGACUUUUAACAUAUGCAAUGCUUUUUACCAGAAGUUGAAUAACGUCAGCGUCUACGAAACUACUGAGUUUAACUUCUUAAUCUCUUUGCUGCUAAACAGCCCACUAAAUCUGUCUGUUAAACUCACACGUGCCCCAUGUGUCUGCUGUGUCCCAGCAUAUCCAAGAAUGGAUUUUCCAUUGAGCGGUACUGCCAAAUCAUUUUUUUUUUUAAUUUUGGCAUCAGUAGUAGAGACUGAAAUAUACAUAUAGGCUCCAAAGAUAAAAUAUAUUAUAAACUUUAGCAUCCAAGAAAAUGUGGGCAACGUGUAGUAUAUUCAAUUUGUAUAGACACUUGAGUUGGUCUAAUUUCACAAAUUAUCAAGAAACAAGCACAUUCAAUUUACCUCACCUUUUCAAAGGUGUAACGGUUACCAAAAAUCAUUGAUCCAUUAUAUAGUUUUCUUCAUUCCAUUUGACCAAAUAAAUUCUUUACCCAAGCAAGAACUUUCUUGAAAGUAAUCUCUGAAGUGUCUGCAAUUUGAAAAGUGGUUUAAAAGGCACAGUUUUAUUCUGACCACUACUCUAAAGUGACUUGAAAAUUGCCUUAGAAUUAACCUAUUUCACCUGUCAUUCUAGAAAGCAUGAAAUGGUUCUUCCAACUUGAUGAGAACCCUGCAAAAUGUCUGCAGAGCACUUCUCUCUAUAAUCUCUUGGACGAGAUAACAUGCCCUGCCUCUCAAUUAAGCACCAAGUACAAGCACUGUGCUAUAUGCUACAAGUAGAACUGGUACAAUGCAUAGACAAUUCCUGCUACCUGGGAUCUUACAAUUUAGUAACGGGAUUCAAAACAUAUAUUAUGUAUAAUGCAU
rnacentral:lncRNA from 1 species